rnacentral:rRNA from 1 species
AGAGUUUGAUCAUGGCUCAGAUUGAACGCUGGCGGCAUGCUUACACAUGCAAGUCGAGCGGCAGCGCGGGGGCGAACCCUGGCGGCGAGCGGCGGACGGGUGAGUAAUGCAUCGGAACGUAUCCCGUAGUGGGGGACAACCCAGCGAAAGCUGGGCUAAUACCGCAUAUGCUCUACGGAGGAAAGCAGGGGACUCGCAAGAGCCUUGUGCUAUGGGAGCGGCCGAUGUCCGAUUAGCUAGUUGGUGGGGUAAAGGCUUACCAAGGCGACGAUCGGUAGCUGGUCUGAGAGGAUGAUCAGCCACACUGGGACUGAGACACGGCCCAGACUCCUACGGGAGGCAGCAGUGGGGAAUUUUGGACAAUGGGGCAACCCUGAUCCAGCCAUGCCGCGUGCGGGAAGAAGGCCUUCGGGUUGUAAACCGCUUUUGGUCGGGAAGAAAAGGUUCUCCCUAAUACGGGGGACUGUUGACGGUACCGGCAGAAUAAGCACCGGCUAACUACGUG